CCCUUCAUAGAUAGAAAAAAAUUAACUUAGCAUCCAUAUAUAAGUUUUCGUUUGCUAAAUUUGUUAGUACGCUUAUUUACUUAUAUGCCAAAUAAAAUAACACACUGUUGAAAUGUGGCAAUCCUUCAGAUUUUUGCUCUUGUUUGCCACUUGGGGCAUUGGUGGUUAUGGCUGAUAAAUACAACAAAGCGGAAAUGUCAUAUACUUGACCCGCUACACAAAAAAACUCCAAGCGAUGAGAGAAAGAAGGUUAAUAAAUUCACUGGAUGUGUAUUUUCAAGAUUGAUAACAUAUGUCGGCGGGGAACCUCUGCAGAAAGGGGAGAACGAGAAGAAAAUUAAAGCAUCAUAUGUUAAAAUAUCAGGCUAAAAAACAAGCUAUGACUGCGCUAUCUACGUUAUGAAGUGGAUGGAGUUAAUUGAGCCGGAAAACAUCAAUAAGGGGAAGUAUGAAUGGGAUAAUUGGCCACAGGUAACUGUCUUUAGAACUAUAUAACUCUGUAUUACUUUACUGAAUUAAUAUUACUGUUUAAACAGAAUAUACUUUUUAAUUGUAGGAGG